rnacentral:rRNA from 1 species
AACGAACGCCGGCGGCAGGCUUAACACAUGCAAGUCGAACGGUUCCUUCGGGGACAGUGGCAGACGGGUGAGUAACGCGUGGGAAUCUACCUAUUUCUGCGGAAUAACACAGGGAAGCUUGUGCUAAUACCGCAUGCGCCUCGUGAGAGGGAAAGAUUUAUCGGAGAUAGAUGAGCCCGCGUCUGAUUAGCUAGUUGGUGGGGUAAUGGCCUACCAAGGCGACGAUCAGUAGCUGGUCUGAGAGGAUGAUCAGCCACACUGGGACUGAGACACGGCCCAGACUCCUACGGGAGGCAGCAGUGGGGAAUAUUGGACAAUGGGGGCAACCCUGAUCCAGCCAUGCCGCGUGAGUGAUGAAGGCCCUAGGGUUGUAAAGCUCUUUCACCGGAGAAGAUAAUGACGGUAUCCGGAGAAGAAGCCCCGGCUAACUUCGUGCCAGCCGCCGCAGUAAUAC